rnacentral:rRNA from 1 species
UACGGAGGAUGCAAGCGUUAUCCGGAAUCAUUGGGCGUAAAGCGUUCGUAGGUGGCUGUGCAAGUCUGCCGUUAAAGACAGUGGCUUAACCACUGAAAGGCGGUGGAAACUGCGCAGCUAGAGUGCGGUAGGGGUAGAGGGAAUUCCCGGUGUAGCGGUGAAAUGCGUAGAGAUCGGGAAGAACACCAGUGGCGAAAGCGCUCUACUGGGCCUGCACUGACACUGAGGGACGAAAGCGUGGGGAGCGAACAGG